GAAGUGUUCAGAGAGAGUGAACUGAAACUUGUUCUCUAGUCUUUUCUCCCGGAUGGGAAGCAAUGACGUGGGGAGAGAGCGCGGAGGAAGGGAGAGAUCCAGAAAGGUAGAUUCUUCUGUGUAGAUCUGGUUGUUAAUCUCAAAGUAAUCUCAAAGUUACCAUUACUCCUGUGGUCCAGUUGGAAGCACAGUCUCAAUGUGGAUCAUGAAACAAAGGCUGUGAUGGAUGCUGCAGUGUUCACAAGACACGCAAAGAAUUUUACAUUAAAAAGAAGGAAGAGAAAGCAAGCAAGCAAGCAAGAA
rnacentral:lncRNA from 10 species